rnacentral:sRNA from 1 species
CCUCACUCGCGCGUUAGGAGGCUCGGGUCGUUGUGGUGCGCCGUCUUCCCGCUUGCGUCAGGGACCUGCCCGACUCAGUGGCCACCAUGGCAUCAGAUGAAGGCAAGCUUUUUGUUGGAGGGCUGAGUUUUGACACCAAUGAGCAGUCGCUGGAGCAGGUCUUCUCAAAGUACGGACAGAUCUCUGAAGUGGUGGUUGUGAAAGACAGGGAGACCCAGAGAUCUCGGGGAUUUGGGUUUGUCACCUUUGAGAACAUUGACGACGCUAAGGAUGCCAUGAUGGCCAUGAAUGGGAAGGUGAGGAUCAGGGUGCUGAGCGGGAGUCCCGUCCUGAGGAUGGGGCACCCACCCGCUAACCUGUUCUGCCCUCUGGUCUCCAGUCUGUAGAUGGACGGCAGAUCCGAGUAGACCAGGCAGGCAAGUCGUCAGACAACCGAUCCCGUGGGUACCGUGGUGGCUCGGCCGGGGGCCGGGGCUUCUUCCGCGGGGGUCGAGGACGGGGCCGUGGGUUCUCUAGAGGAGGAGGGGACCGAGGCUAUGGGGGGAACCGGUUCGAGUCCAGGAGUGGGGGCUACGGAGGCUCCAGAGACUACUAUAGCAGCCGGAGUCAGAGUGGUGGCUACAGUGACCGGAGCUCGGGCGGGUCCUAUAGAGACAGUUACGACAGUUACGCUACACACAACGAGUAAAAACCCUUCCUGCUCAAGAUCGUCCUUCCAAUGGCUGUGUGUUUAAAGAUUGUGGGAGCUUCGCUGAACGUUAAUGUGUAGUAAACGCACCUCCUUGUAUUCCCACUUU